rnacentral:sRNA from 1 species
CCCUAGCCCCGAUAGUAGUGGAAAUCCUUUUGUGCCGGGGUUCGGCACAAAAGAUUGAAACGGAUAGCGGGAACAGCU